rnacentral:misc_RNA from 1 species
GAGGCAAGAUUCUGCAUAUCCGGAGCCAGCUGGGCCCCGAGCAGCUCGGCAGCCACAAGAUUGUGGCUGGCGAUGUGUUGCUCGGCUUUGUGCAGCAGCGUCUUGAGGUUGGUGAGUCCGCGAACGAAAAGCACAACGGACACGUCGUGGGCAGCGAUGGGCAUGGCACUCCUCAUGGAUCGAAACACCUAGCCGGUCCUAGCGCCGGCUCGGGGACGUGCCUUGAUAAAAUGCGACAGCUCAUGCAUCGUCGGGCAUGGCCGUCAUGAAACCCCUUUCCAAGCUACACGCCACGCCAGCGGGGCGUGGUGUGCUGUGGGCAAGCGUACCGCACGGUCGACUCGAAGUUCGGCGUGUGUUGCCGUCGCCGGACCUUGCUCCAUACAUCCAUCACUACGGGUCGGUGCAUUGGGAUCUGCGCUCGCCCUUUGCAGUCGAGACGCUUCCGCAUCCAGCCGCGCGCCUCGAGCUCGAGACGCAGGGGGAUGCCUGGAGCGCACGGGCCGUCGGCGUACGAACUGGCCGUUACGGCAACACGCGCAUUGGCAAGGGACAGUACUUCGUCGUGCAGUUUCGACCGGCAACGUUUCAGCCGCUGCUGGGGGCAGCGCUGUCGAACCUCACGGAUCGCAGCGUACCAGCGGCGCGCCUGUUCGGAGCUCGCGCUGAUGAUUGGGCGCUCGAGCUGCAGCGUGCGCAGUCGCUGCAGGCCGAGAUUGAUCUCAC